rnacentral:rRNA from 1 species
CUACAGGCUUAACACAUGCAAGUCGAGGGGCAUCAGGAAGAAAGCUUGCUUUCUUUGCUGGCGACCGGCGCACGGGUGAGUAACACGUAUCCAACCUGCCCUUUACUCGGGGAUAGCCUUUCGAAAGAAAGAUUAAUACCCGAUAGCAUAAUGAUUCCGCAUGGUUUCAUUAUUAAAGGAUUCCGGUAAAGGAUGGGGAUGCGUUCCAUUAGGUUGUUGGUGAGGUAACGGCCCACCAAGCCUUCGAUGGAUAGGGGUUCUGAGAGGAAGGUCCCCCACAUUGGAACUGAGACACGGUCCAAACUCCUACGGGAGGCAGCAGUGAGGAAUAUUGGUCAAUGGGCGCUAGCCUGAACCAGCCAAGUAGCGUGAAGGAUGAAGGCUCUAUGGGUCGUAAACUUCUUUUAUAUAAGAAUAAAGUGCAGUAUGUAUACUGUUUUGUAUGUAUUAUAUGAAUAAGGAUCGGCUAACUCCGUGCCAGCAGCCGCGGUAAUACGGAGGAUCCGAGCGUUAUCCGGAUUUAUUGGGUUUAAAGGGAGCGUAGGUGGACUGGUAAGUCAGUUGUGAAAGUUUGCGGCUCAACCGUAAAAUUGCAGUUGAUACUGUCAGUCUUGAGUACAGUAGAGGUGGGCGGAAUUCGUGGUGUAGCGGUGAAAUGCUUAGAUAUCACGAAGAACUCCGAUUGCGAAGGCAGCUCACUGGACUGCAACUGACACUGAUGCUCGAAAGUGUGGGUAUCAAACAGGAUUAGAUACCCUGGUAGUCCACACAGUAAACGAUGAAUACUCGCUGUUUGCGAUAUACAGUAAGCGGCCAAGCGAAAGCAUUAAGUAUUCCACCUGGGGAGUACGCCGGCAACGGUGAAACUCAAAGGAAUUGACGGGGGCCCGCACAAGCGGAGGAACAUGUGGUUUAAUUCGAUGAUACGCGAGGAACCUUACCCGGGCUUAAAUUGCAGUGGAAUGAUGUGGAAACAUGUCAGUGAGCAAUCACCGCUGUGAAGGUGCUGCAUGGUUGUCGUCAGCUCGUGCCGUGAGGUGUCGGCUUAAGUGCCAUAACGAGCGCAACCCUUAUCUUUAGUUACUAACAGGUUAUGCUGAGGACUCUAGAGAGACUGCCGUCGUAAGAUGUGAGGAAGGUGGGGAUGACGUCAAAUCAGCACGGCCCUUACGUCCGGGGCUACACACGUGUUACAAUGGGGGGUACAGAAGGCAGCUAGCGGGUGACCGUAUGCUAAUCCCAAAAUCCUCUCUCAGUUCGGAUCGAAGUCUGCAACCCGACUUCGUGAAGCUGGAUUCGCUAGUAAUCGCGCAUCAGCCACGGCGCGGUGAAUACGUUCCCGGGCCUUGUACACACCGCCCGUCAAGCCAUGAAAGCCGGGGGUACCUGAAGUGCGUAACCGCAAGGAGCGCCCUAGGGUAAAACUGGUGAUUGGGGCUAAGUCAUAACA